AUUUUUUUUCUUGAGUUGCCUGCUGAUUGUAGUUCAAUACUUGUGUUAUUUUUGGAAGUGAAACUUGGUUUGCUAGUUUUUGAUUGAAGCAACAUGUCUAUGAUGAAGUACAACGAAAUAUAUUGAAUUUUAUUACCAAUGAACAUGGAGUAGACUUAUAAUUUCCUAGGGACAGGGUGACGUAAUGGGGUAGGGUAAGAAUUUUAGGGAUUUCCAGAACCUUCGCACCACUGGAAAUCAUGGAAGGGUGGGUAUAGAAUCGUGUGGGUCGACUUCCAUCGCAAGACCUCACGCCCGCGAGAGUUUGGAACACGCCGACGAAAGCCCCUAGUACUUUCGGGUACGCCCUAUGAUUGUGCCAUUUAAUGUCCGUUAUGCUCGGAAUAGGCAUAGUGUUGUUUUCGGAGUUCGCUCCCGGUAGAGUCACAGGAUUCUAAAAAAUUUAAAGUUUAUGUAGUAGGAGUCGAGACGCGGUCAAACGAACCCCCCCAAGUUACCGAAUGAGAACGGAACCAAAGAAUCCCCCCCGGCCGUGACCUCGACAUCCCCUCCAAUCCAUCCCCCUACUCACGUAUAGAAAUAUAUCGUGGAAAUGUUACAACGUGUCGGCUCUGUGCUGAAGCUCAUUUUCAGCCAAAAGCAAUCAAAACUUGUUUGCCGCCGAAACACACAAAAUAAAAGCACACGAAAAACACAAAUAGAGAAAAGAUACAAUGCAAAAUUAAGUGGAGAAUACAGUGGAGACUGCUUAGCAUUCACAGAGCAGAGCACACGAACAGAGCGGACGCCCAGACAUGGGCAUGGGCAUGGGGCAAAUGGGAACUGCAGCUGGAACUAGACCUGGCGCUGGAACUGGGACAAGUUGCAAUUCAGAUCAAGUGCCAAUUGGAAACUAUGCCACUGGGUGCAGUGCUCGUUUGCGGAGUAACUAAUUAGAUACGCGUCCCAGCAGAUCUCUACUGUAGCGACUGUAGAUGAUGACAUCUCGCCGUCUCACAGAUUUCCUUGGAAUUGAAAUUGAAUUCUGAGGCGACACUGACAGAGGCGUACACGAAAUUUAUGCGCAACUUUUGGCAGUCGGAGUAGUUGCUGCUGUAGCCCCAAGUUCAAUUAAUUUUAAUUCAACAAUAAACCGAAAUGCACUCCAAGGUAACGUGUCCAUGUCGGCCCUUAUUUGGCAGGCGGCUGAAAUAACUCGGAUCUCCUAAUCGUUUUUUACGAGUACUGGACCAUUACACAAUGUUCUUUUAGGGCAGGGCCUGCAAACAGCAUUUUCUCGCUGAUAAACUGUCCAACUAUGUCCAAACGAUGCCCAUAUGGGCAUGGAGAGGCCCAGUCACGUAGCAGUGGAAUAAAUUAUACUAUACUCGUCGCUCAAAAAAUUAUAAACAAUUAAAAGUACUCGCUGAUCAAUGAAUUGUAAUGACUACGGGUCGCCGCGUCGGUUGUGGCGCAUGUUGAACGUAUCCGACGUGCCCGGGCCUAUCCGGAGACAACCUCCCAUAUACGAAGUGUACACCAAAAUCAUUAGCCAAAACAUUGUGCUUACACAAGUACCCGUACGGUUAUUCCAAGCAUUUCGUUUUUAUCUUAUCAAACUCGAAUUUUCGAAUGGAAUUUGCAUAGGAGCAAAGACUAUACAAUACCAAGAUGUUG